rnacentral:rRNA from 1 species
AUGGAGCGUGCUGCCCACACCGACCCCUCGCGGCGCCCGAGGUCUGGCCACUCGGUUGUGGUCGAGACGUAGGAGAUGGAGCACCAGACCUUCCUCCUGCGUCGCCACGCCGUCCUGCUCGUCUGCACGGCGGAGCGCCACACGGCGAGCCCCAUGUCGGUGGGGCACGCUUUCGACACCCAGAUGCGCACGCCGGCGUACCUCCUGCAGGUCACGAGCCAUGACCCGGAAGACUUCCUCGUCCAUUUCGAGCUGCCGGUGCAUGGCGACAACGUCGUCCGCCUCGGCUCCAUCAACGUCGACGGCGUCUGCUUCAACAUCAAGCCCUGGCACGAAGAUGACCACGCCGUCCACCAAGACUUCAUGCUCCACGUCCGCGUCGUCAUCGAGAAGAUGCCUCUGCAGCUCUGGUCCAUCAAGGGGGCGGAGAAGGUGCUUGGCAACAAGUGCAUCAUCGACCGUCUCGACUCCAGGAUGCUCGAGCGCGGGCACACGAAGACAUUCGCAUGCUGGGUGUGG